GUGCUCGCUUCAGCAGCAUAUAUACUAAAAUUGGAAAGAUACAGAGAUUAGCAUGGCCCCUUCGCAAGGAUGACAGCAAAUUCGUGAAGCGUUCCAUAUUUCU
rnacentral:snRNA from 1 species